rnacentral:rRNA from 1 species
GUUGAACGCUGGCGGCAGGCCUAACACAUGCAAGUCGAGCGGAUGACGGGAGCUUGCUCCUGGCGUCAGUGGCGGACGGGUGAGUAAUGCGUAGGAGUCUGCCUGGCAGUGGGGGAUAACGUCCUGUAACGGGGGCUAAUAGCGCGAACGGCCUGCGGGAGAAACAGGAGGAUCCUCGGACCCAACGCUAACAGAUGAGACUAGGUCGGAUUGGCUAGGUGGUGGGGUAAAGGCCUACAAAGGCGAAGGUCCGGAACUGGUCUGAGAGGAUGAUCAGUCACCCUGGAACUGAGACACGGUCCAGACACCUACGGGAGGCAGCAGUGGGGAAUAUUGGGGGAUGGGCGAGAGCCUGAUCCAGCCAUGCCGCGUGUGGGAAGAAGGUCUUCGGAUUGUAAAGCACUUUAAGUUGGGAGGAAGGGAAGUAAGUUAAUCCCUUGAUGUUUUGACGGUACCAACAGAAUAAGCACCGGCUAACUUCGUG